rnacentral:lncRNA from 1 species
UAGAAUAUUCCCACAAUAACCCACAAGAUAAAGCAGUUGCCCUUUCCCCGACCCUAGAAAGGACUCCCAUGAGCAGAAUAUUGUCUUUCAUCUAUAGUGGCCAUUGAGAACACCACACCUUAGAAGCUAGAGAAUGACUGAGUCUUCAAGACUCCUGCAGCAGCCCUUCCUGGAGAAGGUUGGGGUGUGUGAAGAGUGGGAGGAGGACCAUAUAGAUAGUCAUCUAAAUUAUAGCUGCCCACCUCGUUGGCACCAGCCAUGGGCACUGCAUUCCUUAAAGCUCUGAUUAAUUGUGUGUAUGGGUGCUUUGCCUGAAUGUACAUCUGUGUACCUCUGUGCACCAGGUAUGUGCAAGGGCUGUGAAGGCAAGAAGAAGGCAUUGGAACCCCUGGACUGGAACUAUAGACCUUCCAGAACCACUGUGAGAAUUGAGCAACCAGCGCUCUCAACUGCUGAGCCAUCUCUUCAGCCCUGACAGAAUUCUUAAACCUAAUAAACACUUUUAACGAAGUAUCAAGGUAUAAACUCAACACACAAAAAUCAGUGGCUUUAUUAUCUGCCAGUAAAGAAAUUUGAGGUGAAAAAUCACAUUUCCAGGAUCUUCAAAGGAAAUAAAACAUCAAGUAAAUCUACCUGAGGAGGUGAAAGACCUCUACAAUAAAACCUUUAAGACCCCGAAGAAAGACAUUGAAUAAGAUCCUAGGAG